GAAAAGAAGGCGCCACGUUAAUUCUACAAGGUCUCUGGUCCCUGCCUGCCCCGGGUGCUCAUGGAACCUGCUGCUGCCCUGCCCUUCUCCCUGCCGGCCUCCCUCCUGCUCCUCCUCCUCAGCCUGUGUGCGCUGGUCUCAGCCCAGUUGACUGUGGUGGGGCCCACUGACCCCAUCCUGGCCAUGGUGGGAGAAAACACGACGUUACGCUGCCAUCUGUCCCCCGAGAAAAAUGCUGAGGACAUGGAGGUGCGGUGGUUCUGGUCUCACUUCUCCCCAGCAGUGUUUGUGUAUAAGGGAGGGAGAGAGAGAACAGAGGAGCAGAUGGAGGAGUACCGAGGAAGAACCACCUUUGUGAGCAAGGACGUCAGCAGGGGUAGCGUGGCCCUGGUCAUACACAACGUCACAGCCCAGGAGAACGGCACCUACCGCUGUUACUUCCAAGAAGGCAGGUCCUCCGAUGAGGCCAUCCUGCGCCUCGUGGUGGCAGGACUGGGCUCUGAGCCCCUGAUUGAAAUGAGGGGCCACGAGGAUGGGGGCAUCCUGGUGGAGUGCAUAUCCAGAGGGUGAUACCCGAAGCCCCUCAUGCUGUGGAGGGACCCCUCCGGCGAGGUCGUGCCUGCCCUGAAGGAGGUCUCCACCCAUGAUGCAGACGGCCUCUUCAUGGUCACCACAGCUGUGAUCAUCAGAGACAGGUCCGUGAGGAACAUGUCCUGCUCUGUCAACAACGCCCUGCUCGGCCAGAAGAAAGAAAGUGUCAUUUUUAUUCCAGAAUCCUUCAUGUCCAGCGUGUCUCCCUGUGUGGUGGUGAACGUCUGUAGGAACGUCUGUCACUCUGCUUAUUCUGAUGAUACCCAUUGCCAUGUGUAUCUACUGGAUCAACAAACUCCAAAAGGGUAAAAGAUUCUGUCAGGGGAAAAGGAGUUUGAACACGAAAUGAGAGAAAUUGCUACAAAGGACCUGGAGAAAGAACGUGUGGAAAAAGAGACAGAACUUCAAAUAAAAGAGCAACUUCAGGAAGAACUGAGAUGGAGAAGAACAUUCUUACAUGCUGCCAAUGUGUUCCUGGACCCAGACACCGCUCAUUUCGAGCUCUUCCUCUCAGAAGACCGGAGAAGUGUGAGGCGGGGCCCAUUCAGGCAGAUCGUGCAGGACAACCCAGAGAGAUUCGACAGUCAGCCCUGUGUCCUGGGCCGGGAGAGAUUCGCCUCUGGGAAACAUUACUGGGAGGUGGAGGUGGAAAACGUGAUGGUAUGGACUGUGGGGGUGUGUAGAGACAGUGUUGAGAGGAAAGGGGAGUUCCUGCUGCUUCCUGAGAAUGGCUUCUGGACCCUGGAGAUGUUUGGAAACCAGUACCGGGCCCUGUCCUCCCCUGAGAGGAUACUCCCUUUGAAGGAGUCCCUUUGCCGGGUGGGCGUCUUCCUGGACUAUGAAGCUGGAGACGUCUCCUUCUACAACAUGAGGGACAGAUCACACAUCUACACAUGCCCCCGUUCAGUCUUCUCCAGAGGGCCUGACACUUCACAGGGCAAGGACCCACCACAGCCCACAGGAUCAAUUCCCUGGUCUCACAGCCAUGUAGACGAGCCCUGGCCAUCUCAGCAGCCACCGCACAACGCCCCUGGUGGAAGACACGCCCUCCCCGCUCUGGUCACAUAAGAGAACAUCUUCCAGCUGCCUGUUUCACACCCCCUGCAGGCCUCAGCCCCUGUUCACCUCCUCACGAGGCUGUGGCUUUAGCAGUUCAUUUCCUUGUAACUGUGGGGCGGGAUCCAGGCCUAGUGAGCUAGUUGCUACAC